GACGAACGCUGGCGGCGUGCUUAACACAUGCAAGUCGAACGGAAAGGCCCUGCUUUUGUGGGGUGCUCGAGUGGCGAACGGGUGAGUAACACGUGAGUAACCUGCCCUUGACUUUGGGAUAACUUCAGGAAACUGGGGCUAAUACCGGAUAGGAGCUCCUGCUGCAUGGUGGGGGUUGGAACGUUUCGGCGGUUGGGGAUGGACUCGCGGCUUAUCCGCUUGUUGGUGGGGUAGUGGCUUACCAAGGCUUUGACGGGUAGCCGGCCUGAGAGGGUGACCGGCCACAUUGGGACUGAGAUACGGCCCAGACUCCUACGGGAGGCAGCAGUGGGGAAUAUUGCACAAUGGGCGGAAGCCUGAUGCAGCAACGCCGCGGGCGGGAUGACGGCCUUCGGGUUGUAAACCGCAUUCGCCUGUGACGAAGCGUGAGUGACGGUAAUGGGUAAAGAAGCACCGGCUAACUACGUG
rnacentral:rRNA from 1 species